rnacentral:rRNA from 1 species
UCUGGUUGAUCCUGCCGGACCUGACUGCUAUCGGAUUGGUACUAAGCCAUGCGAGUCAUUGUAGCAAUACAAGGCGGACGGCUCAGUAACACGUAGUCAACCUAACUCGUGGACGUGGAUAACCUCGGGAAACUGAGAAUAAACCACGAGAGAUCAUAGUGCCUGGAAUGGCUUAUGGUCCAAACAGUUUACUGCCAUGGGAUGGGACUGCGGCCUAUCAGCUUGUUGGUGAGGUAAUGGCCCACCAAGGCGAUUACAGGUACGGGCUCUGAGAGGAGAAGCCCGGAGAUGGGUACUGAGACACGGACCCAGGCCCUAUGGGGCGCAGCAGGCGAGAAACCUUAGCAAUGUGCGAAAGCACGACUGGGUCAGUCCGAGUGAUUCCUGAUAAAGGAGUCUUUUGCUUGUCCUAAAAGCACAGGUGAAUAAGGGGUGGGCAAGUCUGGUGUCAGCCGCCGCGGUAAUACCAGCACCUCGAGUGGUCAGGACGUUUAUUGGGCCUAAAGCAUCCGUAGCCGGCUUUGCAAGUCUUCGGUUAAAUCCACCUGCUCAACAGAUGGGCCGCUGGAGAUACUACAAAGCUAGGGAGUGGGAGAGGCAGACGGUAUUCAGUGGGUAGGGGUAAAAUCCUCUGAUCCAUUGAGGACCACCAGUGGCGAAGGCGGUCUGCCAGAACACGUUCGACGGUGAGGGAUGAAAGCUGGGGGAGCAAACCGGAUUAGAUACCCGGGUAGUCCCAGCUGUAAACGAUGCAAACUCGGUGAUGCAUUGGCUUAUGGCCAAUGCAGUGCCGCAGGGAAGCCGUUAAGUUUGCCGCCUGGGAAGUACGGACGCAAGUCUGAAACUUAAAGGAAUUGGCGGGGGAGCACCACAAGGGGUGAAGCCUGCGGUUCAAUUGGAUUCAACGCCGGA